rnacentral:rRNA from 1 species
GACGAACGCUGGCGGCGUGCUUAACACAUGCAAGUCGAACGGAAAGGCCCUGCUUUUGUGGUGUGCCCGAGUGGCGAACGGGUGCGUAACACGUGAGUAACCUGCCCUUGACUUUGGGAUAACUUCAGGUAACUGGGGCUAAUACCAGAUAGGAGAUCCUGCUGCAUGGUGGGGGGUGGAAAUUUUCGGCUGUUGGGGAUGGACUCGCGGCUUAUCAGCUUGUUGGUGGGGGAGUGGCAUACCAAGUCUUUGACGGGUAGCCGGCAUGAGAGGGUGGCCGGCCACCUGGGGACUGAGAGACGGCCCAGUCGCGUACGGUGGGCAGCAGGGGGGAAUAUUGCACAAUGAGCGGAAGCCGGAUGCAGAAGCGCCGCGUGCGGGAUGACGGCCUGCGGGGUGUGAACCGCUUUCGCCUGUGACGAAGCGUGAGUGACGGUAAUGAGUAAAGAAGCACCGGCUAACUACGUG